GCCAGGUGUAGUGGUGCACACCUGUAAUCCUAGCAGCUCAGGAGGCUGAGACAGGAUUGCGAGUUCAAAGCCAGCAUCAGCAAAAGCUAGACACUAAGAAACUCAAUGACACUAAGCCUGUCUCUG
rnacentral:sRNA from 1 species